GUACACGCUGUGACUAGCAUAUCAAUAAGCGGAGGAAAAGAAACUAACAAGGAUUCCCCUAGUAACGGCGAGUGAAGCGGGAAGAGCUCAAAUUUGAAAUCUUAAAGGGUUUCCCUUUACGAAUUGUAGUUUAAAGAAGUGUUUUCUGUUGAGGUUUUGGUAAAAGUUCUUUGGAAUAGGACAUCAUAGAGGGUGAGAAUCCCGUAUUUGACCCUUACUUUCAACUUUGUGAUACACUUUCAAAGAGUCGGAUUGUUUGGGAAUGCAGGUCCAAAAUGGGUGGUAAAUUUCAUCUAAAGCUAAAUAUUGGCGAGAGACCGAUAGCGAACAAGUACCGUGAGGGAAAGAUGAAAAGAACUUUGAAAAGAGAGUUAAACAGUACGUGAAAUUGUCAAAAGGGAAGCGUUUGACACCAGUGUUGUUUUUCUGAAAAUCAAUUAAAGAACUGUUUAUGCUAAGCUGUUUAGACUUUAUCAGCUAAUCUGUUUAGUUUUGAGCUUUUCUUUAAUGCACUUUUCAGUUAACAAGUCAACAUCAAUUUCUUUUGCUGUAAAAAAGGCUUGAGGAAGGUGGCUUGAGAUUCGUCUUAAGUGUUUAUAGCCUCUUGCCUAUGCAGUCGGAGAGAUUGAGGUCUGCAGCGUAGAUCCUUCGGGGCUAAAUGCAUUUGUGCUAAGUUAUAAGCAUUUUAUAGACAACUUGUUGACUAUGAUUUGUCUUGUAGCUUACUCGCUUAUGUUAUUUUACCUACGCUUAGGAUGUUGACGCGCGUGUGUGCGUG
rnacentral:rRNA from 1 species